UACGUAGGGCGCAAGCGUAUCCGGAAUUAUUGGGCGUAAAGAGCUCGUAGGCGGUUUGUCGCGUCUGCCGUGAAAGUCCGGGGCUCAACUCCGGAUCUGCGGUGGGUACGGGCAGACUAGAGUGAUGUAGGGGGAGACUGGAAUUCCUGGUGUAGCGGUGAAAUGCGCAGAUAUCAGGAGGAACACCCGUGGCGAAGGCGGCCCCCUGGGCCGAACCUGACGCUGAGGCGCGAAGGCUAGGGGAGCGAACGGGAUUAAGAUACCCGGAGUAG
rnacentral:rRNA from 1 species